AUUGAACGCUGGCGGCAGGCCUAACACAUGCAAGUCGAGCGGAGCGGCGGACGGGUGAGUAAUACCUAGGAAUCUGCCUGGUAGUGGGGGAUAACGUUCGGAAACGGACGCUAAUACCGCAUACUAUCAGAUGAGCCUAGGUCGGAUUAGCUAGUUGGUGAGGUAAUGGAUCACAAAGGCUACGAUCCGUAACUGGUCUGAGAGGAUGAUCAGUCACACGUGAGCUGCGAUGCGGUCCAUACUCCUACGGGUGUCAGCAGUGGGGAAUAUUGGACAAUGGGCUAAAGCCUGAUCCAGCCAUUCCGCGUGUGUGAUGAAGGUCUUCGGAUUGUAAAGCACUUUAAGUUGGGAGGCGUUACCGACAGAAUAAGCACCGGCUAACUCUGUGCCAGCAGCCGCGGUAAUUC
rnacentral:rRNA from 1 species